rnacentral:rRNA from 1 species
UACGUAGGGGGCUAGCGUUGUCCGGAAUCAUUGGGCGUAAAGCGCGCGUAGGCGGCCAGAUAAGUCCGGUGUGAAAGUCACAGGCUCAACCUGUGAAUGCCGCUGGAAACUGUCUGGCUAGAGUCCGGAAGGGGCGAGUGGAAUUCCUGGUGUAGCGGUGAAAUGCGCAGAGAUCAGGAGGAACACCAAUGGCGAAGGCAGCUCGCUGGAAAGGUACUGACGCUGAGGCGCGAAAGCGUGGGGAGCGAACAGG